rnacentral:rRNA from 1 species
UACACUCCUGCGGGAGGCAGCAGUGGGGAAUAUUGGACAAUGGGCGCAAGCCUGAUCCAGCCAUGCCGCGUGAGUGAUGAAGGCCCUAGGGUUGUAAAGCUCUUUCACCGGUGAAGAUAAUGACGGUAACCGGAGAAGAAGCCCCGGCUAACUUCGUGCCAGCAGCCGCGGUAAUACGAAGGGGGCUAGCGUUGUUCGGAUUUACUGGGCGUAAAGCGCACGUAGGCGGACUAUUAAGUCAGGGGUGAAAUCCCGGGGCUCAACCCCGGAACUGCCUUUGAUACUGGUAGUCUUGAGUUCGAGAGAGGUGAGUGGAAUUCCGAGUGUAGAGGUGAAAUUCGUAGAUAUUCGGAGGAACACCAGUGGCGAAGGCGGCUCACUGGCUCGAUACUGACGCUGAGGUGCGAAAGCGUGGGGAGCAAACAGGAUUAGAAACCCGUGUAGUCCCA